AGGGUUUGAUCAUGGCUCAGGACGAACGCUGGCGGCAUGCCUAACACAUGCAAGUCGAACGAGAAAGUUCCUUCGGGAGCAAUUAAAGUGGCGCACGGGUGAGUAACGCGUAGACAAUCUGCCCUUCAGUCUGGGACAACUUUUCGAAAGGAGAGCUAAUACCGGAUAACAAUGCAUGACACAAGUUGUAUAUUUGAAAGCUUUAUGUGCUGAAGGAGGGGUCUGCGUCCCAUUAGCUAGUUGGUAAGGUAAAGGCUUACCAAGGCAACGAUGGGUAGCGGGUUUGAGAGGACGAUCCGCCACACUGGAACUGAGACACGGUCCAGACUCCUACGGGAGGCAGCAGUGGGGAAUAUUGCACAAUGGAGGAAACUCUGAUGCAGCAAUGUCGCGUGAGUGAAGAAGGCCCUUGGGUCGUAAAGCUCUUUUAUGGGGGAAGAUGAUGACGGUACCCCAAGAAUAAGCACCGGCUAACUAUGUGCCAGCAGCCGCGGUAAUACAUAGGGUGCGAGCGUUGUUCG
rnacentral:rRNA from 1 species